CGGUGGAGCAUGUGGUUCAAUUCGAAGCAACGCGCAGAACCUUACCAGCCCUUGACAUGUCCCGUAUGGACGGUGGAGACGCCGCCCUU
rnacentral:rRNA from 1 species